rnacentral:lncRNA from 1 species
AAAGCAACACCCGGAGCAGGGAUCCCGGGCCGGGUCUCAAGGAAAGGGUGCUAGCUGGAGCUCCCCUCCCUUCUUUCCCCACUCCGGCGGCUCCCGGCUGCUCCGGGAUUGGAGGAAAGAGGGGGAAGGGAGGCAGGCCGGAUCCGCAGCUGCUGUUGUAGGGAUGCCUGCCGGGAGAGUCACCGGGCCACCCCUUUUACAAAAUAGCGGUCUCUGGCAAAAGCCAAGACCCAUUCCAUCACCAGCAGGGUCUCUCCACUAGUUCCCAGUGCUGUUUACCUAAAUAAGAAGUAGCCCCAGUCGAGGAGGAUGCCAAAGUAUGGGAGCGGUUGCACAGCAAAGUCCCUGGAGAAGAAGUAAAAAACGUUUGCUUUGGAUCUUCCGGAAAGUUAACUGUGAUGCAGAGGUCCUGAAGUCUUUGCAGGAAUGAGUCUCACCGUGAGAGAUAGCAGAUCCUAUCUGGUGUUGAUAACGCCAGUCCUUCCUACUCGCUUCCUCCACCCCCACACCAGCUUUUACCCUGGAACUGGCUUUGGAACCUGUUCUGGAACUCGCUCUUUGGAGCAGGCUGGCUUGGAACUCACAGAGAUCCAUCUGCCUCUGCCUCUGGGAUUAAAUGUCUGUGCCACCAAUGCCCAGCUCUGUGCUUUCUUUUUA